rnacentral:lncRNA from 1 species
CUCUCAACCUGUUCUGCAAAUUCUCACCAAAGGUGCAGAUUCUUCUUUGUGGCUCGUACCUCCAUUUUAUGCCCCUGGAAGUGUGGUAGAUAUUCAGGGCACACAGGACAUCUUCAAUUCCCUUCAUCAUCAACACUCUUGUCAAAGAGAAGCUUCUACUAACCUCUGCUGCGUAUACAUGCUGCUACUUGCAUUCGGAAAACACUGCCCCCCCCCCUCUUCUGGGCCUGGCCAACUACUCGAGGUCCCCAGGCAGGGACGAGAGAAUUCCGGUUGCUGCCUUCUUCAGACAGAAGCCAUGUAUUAACCCUUCAGCCAGAAAUCAACAAGAAGUUCUGGUUUCACAUGUAAAUUUCAACUUCACCGAGAUGGUCUUGAGAACACACAGAAAAGACUGCGGCCAAGGGCUCCAGAUGGCCUGGGGCAGCUUGAGGCGUAUGUGGAUCAAGGGCACCCCUCUUCAUGGAGUGGCCGCAUCUUUGGCAUGGGGACGGGCGGAAAACAAGCUUCACCUGCUUCCUGCCUGGUGUGUGGUCAGUGCCUGAGGACCCUGGGCCAUUUGUCGUCACCCACCUGUCUUGGCGACCUGCUCAACACUUCAUUAAAAAUACGUGCAGCUCAGGGGUGCCUGGGUGGCGCAGUCGGUUAAGCGUCCGACUUCAGCCAGGUCACGAUCUCGCGGUCCGGGAGUUCGAGCCCCGCGUCGGGCUCUGGGCUGAUGGCUCGGAGCCUGGAGCCUGUUUCCGAUUCUGUGUCUCCCUCUCUCUCUGCCCCUCCCCCGUUCAUGCUCGGUCUCUCUCUGUCCCAAAAAUAAAUAAAAACGUUGAAAAAAAAAUUAAAAAAAAAAUAAAUAAAAAUAAAUAAAAAAAUAAAAGCACCUGAGUGUGUGCUAUAAAAAAAAAA